UCUAAACUCAUCAGGUUGUAAAUGGUAAUCAGGCACAACUUUCUGUAUGUUAAAAAAAAACAAAAAACUAUUUGCAAUAAUAGAAGGGGAGGGGCAGUGAGGGCGGGUCCAGGACAGCAGGGGAGCGCAUUUGUGGACACCAGGCAGGGGUGAUAAGGUGUCCCCUUAUGUACACCCCCACGCGGAUGUACAGCCCAGCUUCUCCCCCACCCCCCGAGCAGCCACGGAUCCCAGCACCCCCAGUUCUCCGACCAGUCCCCGUUCCCGUCCUUCCUCCGCAUGGUGCCCAGCAGCGCCCACCAGCCCCAGGUCCUGGCCAAGCUCUUGAGCCACUUUAACUGGACCUGAAUGGGCCUGGUGGGUUCUGACAGUGGCAACUUAGAGUGGCUGGCGCAGCAGCUGCGGAAGGAGGUGAGGUGCGCGGGCGGCUGUGUGGCCUUCUCCAAGAUCGGCAGCCAGGCCCACGGCACCCACAGCGUGGCCAGCGCGCUCGCCGCCAGCCCUGCCACCGCGAUCACCGUCUGUGACUGUUACCACUUCCACUUCGGGCUGCUGGCCGAGGCCCUCUGAGAGAAGAAUGUGACCAGGAGGACGUGGGUCUUCUCCACCUCUUCUCCUCUACAACCCAUCGCACCUUGCUGAACGGCACCUUGAGCCUGACCGUGCACUCGGGAUUCCUGCGGGGCUUUGAGGACUUCCUGUUGGCGCUGCGCCCAGCCGCCUACCCCAGCAACGGUCUGGUAGGAAGCUCUGGGAGGAGAUGCAGGGAUGCAGGUGGCCUGGAUCAAGGGCUUCCAGCCCAAGCGCCAGAGAAGAGGCUCAGCACUGCACAGGGCAUGAGAACAUGACAGCGGUCUACUUGUCUACCUUCAAACCGCAUGACCUGACGGCCACUUACCAAGCCUACCUGGCAGCCAGAGCCCUCCUGGCCACCUAUCAGAACCUGACGUCCUGCUCCCAGGAGACGGACCUUUCCUGGGAGGCACCUGUGCAGACCCACACAAUGCCAGGCCUCGGCAGGUGCUCCAUUAUACCCAGAAGCUUCACUUCACCACCAGAGCCCACGAAGAAGUUUUCAUGAGAUGCUGGCAAUGUUUGACAUUAACAACAUCUAUGUCUUCCCAGACCAGAGAGAACAGACAGCCAUUGUUGGACAUUUUGACUUCAGCGCUCCUCCUGGAAAAGAGCUGCUGAUAAAUGACAGUGCCAUAAUCUGGGCAGAAGGACUCUUAAAGUUGAGAGCUGAGAGCCCCCUACCACGCCCACGAAGCACCCCACACUUCUGAGCACCCAACAGUAUUUGUUACAUUGAACUGGCUUAGGGUACUUGGUCAAAGGGAGGGUAAAGCAGACCAUUGACUCACACAACUCUAAGGCUGUUCAGCAAAUAAAACCUUCCAAAACCACCCCGGCUCCCCAAACAAAGGAGCUUGCUAAAGGCAAAGGUAAUUAAUGAGCAAAUGGGAAAGUAAAAUAUAUAUAAUUUUCAAUUUAAUUCAAUUUGAUCUGCAUUCCCCUGAUGAUUAGUAAUGUUGAGCAUCUUCUCUUGUGUCUAUUGGUC
rnacentral:lncRNA from 1 species